AGAACGAACGCUGGCGGCAUGCCUAAUACAUGCAAGUCGAACGAACACUUCGGUGUUAGUGGCGCACGGGUGCGUAACGCGUGGGAAUCUGCCCUUGGGUUCGGAAUAACAGUUGGAAACGACUGCUAAUACCGGAUGAUGACGAAAGUCCAAAGAUUUAUCGCCCAGGGAUGAGCCCGCGUAGGAUUAGCUAGUUGGUGAGGUAAAGGCUCACCAAGGCGACGAUCCUUAGCUGGUCUGAGAGGAUGAUCAGCCACACUGGGACUGAGACACGGCCCAGACUCCUACGGGAGGCAGCAGUAGGGAAUAUUGGACAAUGGGCGCAAGCCUGAUCCAGCAAUGCCGCGUGAGUGAUGAAGGCCUUAGGGUUGUAAAGCUCUUUACCGAGAUGAUAAUGACAGUAUCGGAGAAUAAGCCCCGCUAACUCCGUGCCAGCAGCCGCGGU
rnacentral:rRNA from 1 species